AUUGAACGCUGGCGGAAUGCUUUACACAUGCAAGUCGAACGGCAGCACGGACUUCGGUCUGGUGGCGAGUGGCGAACGGGUGAGUAACAUAUCGGAACGUAUCCAAUAAUGGGGGAUAACGAUUCGAAAGAUUCGCUAAUACCGCAUACGCCCUACGGGGGAAAGCGGGGGACCUUCGGGCCUGGCGUUAAUGGAGCGGCCGAUAUCUGAUUAGCUAGGUGGUGAGGUAAAGGCUCACCAAGGCGACGAUCAGUAGCUGGUCUGAGAGGACGACCAGCCACACUGGAACUUGGACACGGUCCAGACUCCUACGGGAGGCAGCAGUGGGGAAUUUUGGACAAUGGGCGCAAGCCUGAUCCAGCCAUUCCGCGUGAGUGAAGAAGGCCUUCGGGUUGUAAAGCUCUUUCGCAAGGGAAGAAAACUUAGCCACUAACAUUGGUUGAGGUUGACGGUACCUUGAUAAGGAGCACCGGCUAACUACGUGCCAGCCGCCGCCGUAA
rnacentral:rRNA from 1 species